GAUCCCAGGUGAUGAUGUACCUUGAACCAGAUCUUACAGAACUGAUGAUUCUUGGACGUUGGCUUGGAGGUGCUUUCCUGGUAAUAAUGUCAAUGGUUCUACUGGGAGGUCCAUAGCCUGCACUGUUGAAGGCAGAAACAUCUAUGUGGUAGCGUGUAUUAGGCUUCAAGUUUUCCAGUUUGGUUGAAUACUCUUGAUUGCUUACUUGCACCCUCUGCGCAGCUGCCUCUUU
rnacentral:lncRNA from 1 species